rnacentral:rRNA from 1 species
GGAACGCUGGCGGCGUGCCUAAUACAUGCAAGUCGAGCGAGCGGAACUAACAGAUUUACUUCGGUAAUGACGUUAGGAAAGCGAGCGGCGGAUGGGUGAGUAACACGUGGGGAACCUGCCCCAUAGUCUGGGAUACCACUUGGAAACAGGUGCUAAUACCGGAUAAGAAAGCAGAUCGCAUGAUCAGCUUUUAAAAGGCGGCGUAAGCUGUCGCUAUGGGAUGGCCCCGCGGUGCAUUAGCUAGUUGGUAAGGUAAAGGCUUACCAAGGCGAUGAUGCAUAGCCGAGUUGAGAGACUGAUCGGCCACAUUGGGACUGAGACACGGCCCAAACUCCUACGGGAGGCAGCAGUAGGGAAUCUUCCACAAUGGACGCAAGUCUGAUGGAGCAACGCCGCGUGAGUGAAGAAGGUUUUCGGAUCGUAAAGCUCUGUUGUUGGUGAAGAAGGAUAGAGGUAGUAACUGGCCUUUAUUUGACGGUAAUCAACCAGAAAGUCACGGCUAACUACGUGCCAGCAGCCGCGGUAAUACGUAGGUGGCAAGCGUUGUCCGGAUUUAUUGGGCGUAAAGCGAGCGCAGGCGGAAGAAUAAGUCUGAUGUGAAAGCCCUCGGCUUAACCGAGGAACUGCAUCGGAAACUGUUUUUCUUGAGUGCAGAAGAGGAGAGUGGAACUCCAUGUGUAGCGGUGGAAUGCGUAGAUAUAUGGAAGAACACCAGUGGCGAAGGCGGCUCUCUGGUCUGCAACUGACGCUGAGGCUCGAAAGCAUGGGUAGCGAACAGGAUUAGAUACCCUGGUAGUCCAUGCCGUAAACGAUGAGUGCUAAGUGUUGGGAGGUUUCCGCCUCUCAGUGCUGCAGCUAACGCAUUAAGCACUCCGCCUGGGGAGUACGACCGCAAGGUUGAAACUCAAAGGAAUUGACGGGGGCCCGCACAAGCGGUGGAGCAUGUGGUUUAAUUCGAAGCAACGCGAAGAACCUUACCAGGUCUUGACAUCUAGUGUCAUUUGUAGAGAUACAAAGUUCCCUUCGGGGACGCUAAGACAGGUGGUGCAUGGCUGUCGUCAGCUCGUGUCGUGAGAUGUUGGGUUAAGUCCCGCAACGAGCGCAACCCUUGUUAUUAGUUGCCAGCAUUAAGUUGGGCACUCUAAUGAGACUGCCGGUGACAAACCGGAGGAAGGUGGGGAUGACGUCAAGUCAUCAUGCCCCUUAUGACCUGGGCUACACACGUGCUACAAUGGGCAGUACAACGAGAAGCGAGCCUGCGAAGGCAAGCGAAUCUCUGAAAGCUGUUCUCAGUUCGGACUGCAGUCUGCAACUCGACUGCACGAAGCUGGAAUCGCUAGUAAUCGCGGAUCAGCACGCCGCGGUGAAUACGUUCCCGGGCCUUGUACACACCGCCCGUCACACCAUGGGAGUCUGCAAUGCCCAAAGCCGGUGGCCUAACCUUCGGGAAGGAGCCGUCUAAGGCAGGGC